rnacentral:rRNA from 1 species
UUCCUGUACUCGGUGUUACUGCGAAGGGGGGACGGAGAAGGCUAUGUUGGCCGGGCGACGGUUGUCCCGGUUUAAGCAUGUAGGCGGAUGUUCCAGGUAAAUCCGGAACGUCACUAACGCUGAGGUGUGAUGACGAGGCACUACGGUGCUGAAGUGACAAAUGCCCUGCUUCCAGGAAAAGCCUCUAAGCAUCAGGUAACAUCAAAUCGUACCCCAAACCGAC